AAAAUACAACAACUGCUGUGGGAGUUUCUCUAACCGACAACCAUCACAUAAGAGCUAUAGUGAUGAUACAGCGAUCGACCUCACGCUGCCAGAGCAUCCUAUUCCCGGCCAAAGGUAUAGGACCUGAACUGCCUAAUGGAUCCACUAGUCUAAUCUGAAAAGGAUUCAUCAACAAAAAGUAUGAUCCUUUUCUACCCAUGGUGGCUAACAUGGUUCUAUGAGGGUUGUGGGUUCUUGGAACGCUCCCCCAAUUCGGUGCUCGAUACUACUCCCAAAAA
rnacentral:lncRNA from 1 species